CUCAUUCAUAACCCAACUUCUUAACACUUUGUACUUGUAACUUUGUUCAAGUAAUACAUAACCAUCUUUGUUGUAGUAUUGCACUACAAAAUCAUACUUGUGAUCCUCGCAAACAAAUACUUCCGCUGCUAUACAUAACCAAACCCAUCCAAAAGACUGAACUUAGAAGUAUUCUAAGUGCCGCACGAGAGUUAGAAAGUUACUCCGUGAUAAGUGGUAUCAGAGCCGCGUCGGUUCAUCAUGAUGGCGAACAAGAAAAGAAAGAAGGGAGCAACGAGCAAGAAAAUCGUCUCUAGAAAAGAAGAGACACACAAUCAUAAUCAAGAUCAGCAAAAAGUUGAAGGCAUGUCUAUGGAUUUGGCCGGAUCCUUAGACAAAAUGAAGACUAAUGUUGAAGCUUCGGUAACACAACUUGGAAUUCUUGUCAAUCGUUCCUUGGAAAAGCUAGACACUUUGGAAACAUUGCGAGAUGAGUUAAGAGGACUCAAAGAAGACUUCAAAACCGCUAUCGACGUCAUACGCCUCGAGAUGCAAGCCAUGAUCCAGGAGGAAAUCGCAAGGCUGUGAAGUGAGGUAGACGCUAAGAUCCAAAACUUUCACAAAAAAUUUGUUGAGUUAGAAGCAAAAUUGAUCGACACCAACAAGGCACAACCAGAAGCAUGUCUAGGGUCCAUGCAAGUGAGUCAUCUUAAUACUUUAAACACACAAGAAACUCCCAAAACACAGGAAAAACACAACAUCAAAAGGCUCCCGAACAAGGGAAAGAAAAGAUCCACAACCACAAAACUAGAAAAGAAGUCGGAAGAAGGACUUCAACUCGUCAACAUGGUGGUAAACGGAGACCCGUUAAGGCACUAGUUGACACAGGAGCAAGCCAUAACUUCGUCUCAAUAGAUGAAGCAAUAAGACUCGAUGUUCGAGUAACAAAACAAAAGGCAACGAUGAAGACCACAAAUGGACCCGUCCAACCAACACUAGGGAUGGCCUACGACGUCAAAACAACAAUCGGCAAAUGGAAAGGUAAGAUUGACCUUUCCGUGGUGCCAAUGAAAGAACACGACUUCGUGCUUGGCCAUGAUUUCUUCGAAAAUGAACAGGACUUUCUCAUUUCGUUUGCAAACAAAUUUUGCAUCAUAGACGGGAACCAAGUUCACAAAAUGAAGACAAAGACAGACACUGGCCGUCAAGGUAUGUCAAUAACAUCAAUACAACUGGAGGUUGGUUAUUAGACAAGAUCAACCAGUCAUUCAUCACAAUGAGGCAUAACCCGAAAUCGCAAUGAGGAUGUUGCGAAUUUAGGUGAGGGAGAAUGUCACGAUCCGCCUAAAUACACAACUUUUUUCAAUAGUUCUGGAAGGAUCCGGAACACUAAAGAUGCGUCUAGGGUUGCCCAGAAAUUUUUGGAACAGCCUACAAGUUGUUGGAACAUAUUGGCACCAUCGGAAGACUCUAGAUCAGACAAGAACACUCUAGAAUGACCAUGAAAACACUUAGAAGUCAUGGAUAUUUUGAAGGAACUCUCUAGAAUUCAGCUCAUAAAUAUCCUAGAUAUUUGUAUGGAAUUCUCUAGUUAAGAAUUCUCUAGAACUAGUAUGAACUAGUAUAAAUAGGUGAUGAAGGUCUCAUUUUGAGAUCACCCCACUACAAAAUCAUACUUGUGAUCCUCACAAACAAAGACUUCUGCUGCUACACAUAACCAAACCCAUCCAAAAGGUUGAACUUAGAAGUAUUCUAAGUUCCGCACGAGAGUUAGAAAGUUACUCUGUGACAUUAGGGACUGCGUUGGUAUUCUGCAUGAUUUGCAGUGUGCUCGAAGGGCUGGGAACACAGAUCUUGUUCGAAUCAAGUUCAAAAGACGGAAGUUUAAGCAUGUGGCCAAUCUGACCCCAGAUGGAAUCCCAGACAACUAUUUCGAAGAUAUAUGAAGAUAAGAGUUUAGAGUGUUUUGUUAAUAUGUCAUACCAUUGUCAUACCAUAGCUAGUUGUUAUAUGUUACGUUGACAAAUUGUUAAUAUGUCAUACACAUACGCAUAAAAAGAAUCAUGAUGCUCGAGUCACGUUGACAAAAGUA